AAAACGCGCCGGAGGGACUGUUACAGAGAGGCAGCGGGCGUGGGCUCGGAGUCGCGAACGACGUAAACGGCGACAGGUGGUCGGGCACAGCACAACGGCGAGCCCCGAGCCACCCGUCGUCUGCCUCGUGCAGCGAAGUUUCCAGCCCUCAACCCUUGUUUUGCCGCCGCCUAGCGGCUUAAACAAUUUUCCGGCGAAAGGUUCGAAUAUUGCCCAGCAAUAUUCACCCAAUUCCAAAUUG
rnacentral:lncRNA from 1 species